CGCGGGGCAAUAUCUAGUUGGUGAGGUAACGGCUCACCAAGGCGACCAUGCGUAACCAACCUGAGAGGUGGAUCGGACACACUGGCCCUGAUCCUCGGCCCAGACUCCUACGGGAGGCAUCAAUAGGGAAUCUUCCCCAGUGGCCGAAAGCCUGAUGGAGCAACGCCGCGUGAGUGAAUAAGGUUUUCUUAUCGUAAAACUCUGUUGUAAUGGAAUAACAACUACAGUAUUAACUGGCUGUACCUUGACGGUACCUUAUUAAAAAGCCGCGGCUAACUACGUGCCAACAGCCGCGGUAAUACGUAAGUGGCAAUCGUUGUCCGGAAUUAUUGGGC
rnacentral:rRNA from 1 species